AAGAUUUCCAGUUAUAGUUAACUUGAACUUUAACUUGAAUAAUUACGAAAAGUUUUAAAGAGUAGCGAGUGGAAGAAAACGGAUAGUCGACUUGAAUAUUUAUAGGAAAAGAAGGUCGGCUAGCUGAUUUUUUAAGGU
rnacentral:sRNA from 1 species